rnacentral:rRNA from 1 species
UACGUAGGGGGCGAGCGUUGUCCGGAUUUAUUGGGCGUAAAGAGCUCGUAGGCGGUUUGGUAAGUCGGGUGUGAAAUCUCCACGCUCAACGUGGAGGGGCCACUCGAUACUGCCAUGACUCGAGUCCGGUAGAGGAGUGUGGAAUUCCCGGUGUAGCGGUGAAAUGCGCAGAUAUCGGGAGGAACACCUGUGGCGAAAGCGGCUCACUGGACCAUAACUGACGCUGAGGCACGAAAGCUAGGGGAGCAAACAGG